UACGGGGGGAGCAAGCGUUGUUCGGAUUUACUGGGCGUAAAGGGCGCGUAGGCGGUCAGCACAAGUCAGUUGUGAAAUCUCCGGGCUUAACUCGGAACGGUCAACUGAUACUGUGCGACUAGAGUGCAGAAGGGGCAACUGGAAUUCUCGGUGUAGCGGUGAAAUGCGUAGAUAUCGAGAGGAACACCUGCGGCGAAGGCGGGUUGCUGGGCUGACACUGACGCUGAGGAGCGAAAGCAUGGGGAGCGAAUAGG
rnacentral:rRNA from 1 species